GCGACAGCGCCCCCUGUGGGCUCGGAGGACCUCGGCGCGUCCCGGGGCACGACCGCCCGGCCGACUCGGGCGAUGUCCAGUGGGCGGCCCCAGCGGAGUGGGGCAGUCGGGGAUCGAGCCAAGCCAGAUCCGAGACUAAAGCGGGCCCGCCCCUUCCUGCCAGGGCCCGGCCCGGCUCGGCUUCGCCCUGCGAUCCCGCCCGCGACCGCUGGGCGCCGUCCGAGUUCCGCCGGUCUUGCUCCCCGGCCCUGCCGCUGCCCCACUGGCGCUGGGCGCCCCUGAGAGCUAAGCUCAUCAGACACUGCCCCUUCCGGCUCGGCCUGGCCCUCGCCUUCCCUGAAGAGGGGCCGGGCCACCUCUGUCACCACCCGGCCCGCUGACUGGAAUGAUGAGGACCAGGGAAAGAAAUUUCUCCCUGGGUGCAAUCGGGAAAUUCUGCUCACACGAAAAUGGACAUUUCCAGCUUGCCUUGGAAAAACCACUUUUCUGGAGUCGAGGCACCUCCCCUUGGGCCACACAUUUGAGCCUCCUCUUUCAUCUGGAGUCUGCGGGGGAGCCUUGAUGCCUUUUUGGUUCUGGGAAGCUGACGACGAAGAGGGAUUUCCUGCCCCAGCAGUCCACAUCGCAGCGUUGGCCUCCUGGGCCUUGCUCUACCAAGUUGGGCCCCUCUCCCUGGAACCUGCCAGACAGCGAGAGUUGCCCAGCCCAGGAAAAAAACAUUUAAAGGCGCAUUUCAAGACAAUCCGAUGGGUCUUAGGAGUAAACAUUUUUAUAUUUA